rnacentral:lncRNA from 1 species
AGCGUCCUGGAGCCCUUUAUUUGCACAGGGCCCUGCAGAGAACGGAGAACACCACACCCGGUGAGAGGAGGCUGUGGGUACAAGGAUGACUCUUAUGAAAGGCAGGAGAAAAGUGAGCCUGAGGAGGCGCUGGCCAGGCAGAGCCAGUACCACCUUACACAACCUGACAGGUGUGCACACAGGCCCUGUGCUGACCUGUGAGGUUUCGCUGGAGUGAGGUUGGGCCCUGCCUUGGGGAACUAGAGCCUCUUUUGGGAGUGGCAAGGACCAGAGCCAGGUCCAGGGACUUUCCACAGUCCAUGAGGCCUGAAGGCAGCAGCAGAGCUACAGCUCUUCCCAGAGCAACUGACUGUUCUGGGAACAAUGAGUACAGGACAGUCAGGUCAAGGAGGGAGGAAAGGUGAAGGAAGGGAUAGAGGGAAUGGUGCGCUUUCAUGUAUUUAUUCAGCAAACACUUAAGGAAGACUUACGUGCCAGUGAGGAUUUCUGGACCUGGCGUUGUGCUGGGUUGGCAGCUGUGCAAUUUGGCCAUCAUUUCAAAAGUCUUUUACAGAAGGAAAGGCUAGGUGAAAGGAACAGACCCAAAUCUAGGAAGUGCCAUAGAUUUCAAUGGUCUCACGUUGUUAGGGGAAAAAAGCAAUAAAGUCGAUCAUUAAAAUUAACCACUCUCAGUUUUAAACAUUUAAAAAUUAUUAAAUCCACCAUGACCUAAAUUACUCCCAUAUAACCAAAUUCUCUAUUUCAUUGUUCCCAAACUUGGGGCAAACAUCUUACUUUAAACGCUUUAAAGAAUAGUCAUUCCAAGUAGUUGCUUGCAUUUUCAUCCUCUGGAAUGCAUACUGUGCUAUAUUUUGAGUCUUUCCCCUUUGGAGCAGGUCCCAUCGAGCAUAUGAGUAUGAACAGUUAUUUACCAGUUACUUGGGUUUAUACUGUAUGGGUAAUUCUGCCCGUUUGAAUAGCUGGAGAAAUCACUCAAGUGCUGCUUAGGAGCAGACGUUUGAGAAGCUCAGAGUUCUCAGUGCCCUUGUGUGGGUGCCACCCCACAGCCCUCGCGGACAGUAAGAAUGGACAUGGAGGCAGCCCCGAUGAUUUUGUUCUUUUCAAUAAUCCAUUUUUCUUCCUGGGUGCUUAUAGGGCACUUUCUUUUUCCUUAGAUGGAUAAUCUGUGUUUGCUUGUUUAUUAAUUUCGCCUGAUUUUCUCCAAGCCUUUUUAGGAAAUUGAAUUUAGCCCAGGAAAUUGAAUUUCUCCGUGUCUCUCAUUCUGUCUGUUCUGAAUGUUAGGUGCCAGGACUUAAGAUACUUGUCAAUAUUGUAUGUGAACAAACUUACAGGUGAAAUACAUGCUUGUUGUAGAAAACUUAGAAAAUAAUUCAAGGAAAGAAAGAAAAGUUGCCUAUAAUUUCAUCUUAGAGAUAAAACUGACGAUAUUGUGGUAUUAUCUUUUUCCCAUAUCUUUCAUUGCUUUUAAUAAGUUUUUUUCUAAGCAGUAGAGAUACACACAUACACAUACAACAUCUUGUAACCUACUUUUAGCAGUUGGUAAGUAUUUCUUCUGACUUAAUAGAAACACUUAAUGAAAAUGACUGACAGUGAGGAUUUCAUAUGCUUGGGCCAGACAUUCCCAUGUCUCAACGGGUCCUCAUGGUGUGGUGGCUGGAGCACCUGGGAAAAGGGACAUUGCCAGCCAGCCCUGCCUCUGUGAUGUUCUCUGGCCAUGUCACCAUAUUCCUGUGAGCUUCCACGUUCUGAUCUGUAAAAUAGGGAUAAUAGUCACAGUUUUGCAGUGUAAAAAAAGGGCAUUUAGUAUAGGAUUAGGAAUUAUUAGAAACACUUUGAUAAGGAACUAUAAGAUGCACUUUUAUAUUAUAUCUAAGCUUGUAAACUUAACCAAAAGGCAACUGCAAAUCGUCCUGGCCAUUAAAGCACCAAAUAAAUUCUGGCACAUUAAUACUCUCAGUUCAGCUCCAUCAUCAAACAUGUCUCCCAUUCCUGGUGGCCUCACAGACACCAAGGUUUGCAGUUUUCAUGGGUUAUAAAAACAACUUGAUGAAAAGCAAGUCUUAUUCUUUUUUUUUUUUUCAAUUGAGAUGGGGUCUCCCAGUGUUGCCUGGGCUGGUCUCGGAACUCCUGGGCUCAAACAGUCCUCCUUCCUUGGCCUCCCAAAGUGGUGGGAUUACCACCACACCAGGCCAAAGCCUUGUU